rnacentral:rRNA from 1 species
UACGUAGGGUGCAAGCGUUAAUCGGAAUUACUGGGCGUAAAGCGUGCGCAGGCGGUUGGGCAAGACAGAUGUGAAAUCCCCGGGCUUAACCUGGGAACUGCAUUUGUGACUGCACGGCUAGAGUACGGCAGAGGGGGAUGGAAUUCCGCGUGUAGCAGUGAAAUGCGUAGAUAUGCGGAGGAACACCAAUGGCGAAGGCAGUCCCCUGGGCCUGUACUGGCGCUCAUGCACGAAAGCGUGGGGAGCAAACAGG